AAAAGCAGCCAUGCUUCCCUGAACAAGCCCGAUCCUGUCUGAUCUCAGAAGCUAAGCAGGGUCGGGCCUGGUUAGUACUUGGAUAUGAACCACCUAGGAAGAGCAGGUGCUAUAGGCA
rnacentral:rRNA from 1 species